UACACAUGCAAGUCGAACGGCAGCACGGGGGCAACCCUGGUGGCGAGUGGCGAACGGGUGAGUAAUACAUCGGAACGUGCCCUGUAGUGGGGGAUAACUAGUCGAAAGAUUAGCUAAUACCGCAUACGACCUGAGGGUGAAAGCGGGGGACCGCAAGGCCUCGCGCUACAGGAGCGGCCGAUGUCUGAUUAGCUAGUUGGUGGGGUAAAAGCCUACCAAGGCGACGAUCAGUAGCUGGUCUGAGAGGACGAUCAGCCACACUGGGACUGAGACACGGCCCAGACUCCUACGGGAGGCAGCAGUGGGGAAUUUUGGACAAUGGGGGCAACCCUGAUCCAGCAAUGCCGCGUGUGUGAAGAAGGCCUUCGGGUUGUAAAGCACUUUUGUCCGGAAAGAAAUGGCUCUGGUUAAUACCCGGGGUCGAUGACGGUACCGGAAGAAUAAGCACCGGCUAACUACGUGCCAGCAGCCGCGGUAAU
rnacentral:rRNA from 1 species